UACAGAGGUCUCAAGCGUUGUUCGGAUUCAUUGGGCGUAAAGGGUGCGUAGGUGGCGGGGUAAGUCCGUGGUGAAAUCUCCGAGCUUAACUUGGAAACUGCCAUGGAUACUAUAGGUCUUGAAUACUGUGGAGGUCAGCGGAAUAUGUCAUGUAGCGGUGAAAUGCUUAGAUAUGACAUAGAACACCAAUUGCGAAGGCAGCUGGCUACACAAAUAUUGACACUGAGGCACGAAAGCGUGGGGAUCAAACAGG
rnacentral:rRNA from 1 species